UAGCAGUGAUGUUUAAAUAUUUUUCGUCAACAGCAUUUCACCACGUGAAUGUUGACACCUGAUUUUCUGAGCUA